rnacentral:misc_RNA from 1 species
AAGUCGUAACAAGGUUUCCGUAGGUGAACCUGCGGAAGGAUCAUCAACAAAUCCCUCUAAAUACUCAAAACACACCUUUGUGCUCAAAACCCCCUAUAAAUCUAUGCUCUUCUCCGGUCACUUGCUGAUCAAGUGUAUGGUUUGAAUGAGAUCGUCAUUGGUUGUACGAUCCUUCCAUGCAUGAGUUGAGUGUAGGUUUUUUUUUCCCUUACAACCAAAAAAACAACAACAUAAACUCCAAAAAACACAAUCUUUAUCUAUCUGUUUCUGUUUUUUGUUUUUUUUUCUUUUCAUCUUGUAUGCACACUCGUGUGUAUAUAAUGUGAAAAAAAAGGAAAUAAAAAUAUAAAAAAACUUGAAAACAACUUUUAACAAUGGAUCUCUUGGUUCUC